rnacentral:rRNA from 1 species
AUACAGAGGGUGCAAACGUUGUUCGGAAUUACUGGGCAUAAAGCGCGCGUAGGCGGUCAGGUAAGUGUGAAGUGAAAUCCCACGGCUCACCCGUGGAACUGCUUUGCAUACUGCUUGACUAGCGGAAGGUAGGGGAGAGCAGAACUCUUGGAGGAGCGGUGAAAUGCGUAGAUAUCAAGAGGAAUACCAGUGGCGAAGGCGGCUCUCUGGUCCUUUACUGACGCUGAGGUGCGAAAGCUAGGGUAGCGAACGGGAUUAGAAACCCUAGUAGUCC